rnacentral:tRNA from 1 species
GCGCCGUUCGGAUAGCGGCUAUUCCAGGGGACUGUAAAUCCCCGGCCCUAUGGGCAUCGCUGGUUCGAGUCCAGCACGGCGCACCA